GAAGUACUAGCUGCGGUAGAAAAAAGUCGGCGACAAAAGCAGCAGCAUCAUCGAC
rnacentral:tRNA from 1 species